UACGUAGGGCGCAAGCGUUGUCCGGAAUUAUUGGGCGUAAAGAGCUCGUAGGCGGCUUGUCACGUCGGUUGUGAAAGCCCGGGGCUUAACCCCGGGUCUGCAGUCGAUACGGGCAGGCUAGAGUGUGGUAGGGGAGAUCGGAAUUCCUGGUGUAGCGGUGAAAUGCGCAGAUAUCAGGAAGAACACCCGUGGCGAAGGCGGCUCUCUGGUACGUGACUGACGCUGAGACGCGAAAGCGUGGGGAGCGAACAGG
rnacentral:rRNA from 1 species